rnacentral:rRNA from 1 species
UACGAAGGGGGCUAGCGUUGCUCGGAUUGACUGGGCGUAAAGGGCGCGUAGGCGGUUUGUACAGUCAGACGUGAAAUUCCCGGGCUCAACCUGGGGGGCUGCGUUUGAUACGUGCAGACUUGAGUUCGGAAGAGGGUCGUGGAAUUCCCAGUGUAGAGGUGAAAUUCGUAGAUAUUGGGAAGAACACCGGUGGCGAAGGCGGCGACCUGGUCCGAUACUGACGCUGAGGCGCGAAAGCGUGGGGAGCAAACAGG